rnacentral:rRNA from 1 species
AUACGGAGGGUGCAAGCGUUAAUCGGAAUUACUGGGCGUAAAGCGCGCGUAGGCGGUUAGAUAAGUCGGAUGUGAAAUCCCUGGGCUCAACCUGGGAACUGCAUUCGAUACUGUCUAACUAGAGUAUGGUAGAGGGAAGUGGAAUUCCGGGUGUAGCGGUGAAAUGCGUAGAUAUCCGGAGGAACAUCAGUGGCGAAGGCGACUUCCUGGACCAAUACAGACGCUGAGGUGCGAAAGCGUGGGGAGCAAACAGGAUUAGAUACCCUAGUAGUCC